UGCUAGUACAAUUAUAUAAUUAUUGCCAUUUUUAUGGAAUUAUUAAUCCUUGUAUAGGGAACACAUAUCAUGCAAGAUGCAGGCACCUACAUAUUACAAUGGCAAAAUCAAGAAGACCAAGCCGAAUUUCUCCCAUCUAUCAGUUCUCACAAAGCUCAACUUAUGUAUUUUUAUGAGACAUUGCCAUCUGCACAUUACAGGGGUUCAAUGAUGAGUUUGCAAUCUGCUAUGAGUGGGAGAUCAGAGGCUAGUUCAUCAUUAUCCAGAUGAAAAGCGAUGGAGGUGAACGUUGAAUUGCAAGAGACAUGAAGACAUUUCAUUUUUAAUGUUUUAGUGUUAUAUGUUAUAAAAACAUGAAUCUUUAAUUUGUGUUAAAGGAAACUACAAUGCAAUUCAGAUUUUAAUUAAUCUGAUAUUUUAAUCUUUUUUUGACGCGGUUGCCUCUAUAUACACAUCACCAAUCCAAUUCUCAAGCCUAAAAUACUCACGUUGACAAUUACAAAGCCAAUGAUACAUUAUAGUUGUUAAACAAUAAUAUAAUAUAUAAUAAUGUUAUUUACUUAAACUUUAUUUUCAUAUAAAGAUGAAAUAUAGAGGAAAUUUAGUACUCAAAAUAAAAACUUGUACAUUUUAUAUAGAUGAUAUUGCAAUAUAAAGAAUAAGGAUACCGUUGCAAGAGCACAUUAUAAUUUCCAGCUCUAAAGUGGACGGUAAUACAAAUUGUGCAAUUGAAUUGUGAUUUAAUAUUAAUUUAUAAAAACACAUAUAUUUACACAUAAAGAACACGGGUAACGAAAAAUGUUCUUCCCUUAUAAGAUUACAUUUUACUCAAAUUAUUGUUAAGGAAAGUUGCAUAAAAAAGCUAAUAUUUAUAGUAAUAUACUAUAUUAAACAACAUUCCAUUGCUCUGAAUGAUGGAACAUGUAUUUAAAUUAUUUUUUAUGUAUUUCCACAAAUCUUUUAAUGUAGUGUGCAAGGAGAUUAAUAAGUUGUAGGAUCACAAUAUAAAUUAUUGUUUCUAGUAUGUUAAUUUAUUAUUAAUAUGUUUAGAUCAAAUUAAAUAUAUUACCUGCGUUUUCUAGCUAUCUAAAAAUUAAUGAAAACAUAAUACAUUAUACGUUUUUAGUAAUUUAUUAUGUACCAAUAAAUGUUAAAAUUAAUGAAAAUGCUUUCAAUACAAUGGAACGAAUUAUCAGAAAUUAAACAGAGAGAAAAUUAAUUUUGAGUGAUUAUAGUAUAAUAUAUUAAUACAGAAUACAAUUCAUAUAUCCACUGAAAAAAUUGUAAAUAAGUUUCGGCAACAAGAUAAUAUUUUAAAAUAUUAUUAUUAAUUUUUAGAUAUUCUACAAAAAUUCAUUAACUUUAUACAUAAUAUUUGUAUAAAUUAUUUAAUGACAAAAUACUGUUAAUAUAAUUAAAGUGUAAUAAUUAGGUAAGCUUAAUUAAUUCUCUCUCUCUCUACAAUGCAGGACAAAAAAAAAUAGAGAAGAAUAAAUAUUAUAUAAUAAAAUAGUCACACAAUUAGGAUGAGAAUAAUAUAAAAAAUAGAAAAAGUGUGUUGAAAGAAUAUACUCAUACUUUCGAUAUAAAACAUUCUGAAAAUACACAGAGAAAGCUUUAUAAGAAAUUAUCUUUAAUCAUCAAGAUAUAAUUUGUAAGAUUACAAGCUCUAUUUAUUAAUUAACUAACUAUAUCACAAUGAAUAGAAAUAUUAUUCCCAUGUAUUCUUAACAAAUUCCAUCUUGAUGAUGACUAAUUGUAAUUAGUAAUAGUCCAGUUAAAGAAACAAUGUAUUUUUCAAAUGAAGAUUUUUAGGAUGAACACAAAAAACAAAUGUGUUUUUGCUAGAAUAGUAUAUGGUGUAAUAAUAUGAUCAGUCAGUUAUAUUUGUUAAAUAGUUGAUUAAAAAUGUCAUGUUUAUCAGUUAUUCAUCUUAACAGCAUCUACAAAAAUUUUUAGAAUGUAGUUGUGUAACUAGUAUGUAUGAAGAAUGUAUGUAGUAUAUUAUUACAGCAAAGAAAUAUAGAAUAUGUAUAAAAUUAUCAUUUGUGUGUAUAUGAAUAUUAAGAAGAUUUUCAUAAAAUUUAUUACUAUCAUUAUCAUUUGUAUUGAAUAUUAAGAAAAUACUUAUAAAAUUUAUUACUAUCUGAUAAUGCACUAUGUAUCUUCUUUAUAACUAGAAAUUAUGAUAUUUACUUUUGAAUUGAAAACAAAACGACAUAAUAUGCUGCUGAUUUGAAGUAUUGUGUAUCAAGUAUUGCGACCUAGCUAGUAGUUGUUAUUUCUGUUGUCAUCAUACGUUAAUAUUGGAAGCAAUAAAAUUCAAACGGA